AUAAAAUUCAUUCUAGCAUGACAUGGCAAUUAUUAUAAUUUACAGCCUUUCAAGGCUAAAUACACAUUUCAUAUAUUUCAACACCAAUACCAAUUCAGCCAUUCAUGCAAAUAUUGUCAUAAGCCAUUAGAUUCAUAAAUUUAAUUCAUAACAAGUGGUCUCCAAUUACUCUAUUUUUCAAAAUCAUCAUUCAAUUUUAAA
rnacentral:lncRNA from 1 species